rnacentral:rRNA from 1 species
UACGUAGGGGGCAAGCGUUAUCCGGAUUCACUGGGCGUAAAGGGAGCGCAGGCGGCACGGCAAGUCUGGUGUGAAAGCCCGGGGCCCAACCCCGGGACUGCAUUGGAAACUGCCGGGCUGGAGUGCCGGAGGGGUAAGCGGAAUUCCUAGUGUAGCGGUGAAAUGCGUAGAUAUUAGGAGGAACACCAGUGGCGAAGGCGGCCUGCUGGACGACAACUGACGGUGAGGCGCGAAAGCGUGGGGAGCAAACAGG